UACGUAGGGUGCAAGCGUUAAUCGGAAUUACUGGGCGUAAAGCGUGCGCAGGCGGUUUUGUAAGUCUGUCGUGAAAUCCCCGGGCUCAACCUGGGGAAUUGCGAUGGAGACUGCAAGGCUAGAAUCUGGCAGAGGGGGGUAGAAUUCCACGUGUAGCAGUGAAAUGCGUAGAGAUGUGGAGGAACACCGAUGGCGAAGGCAGCCCCCUGGGUCAAGAUUGACGCUCAUGCACGAAAGCGUGGGGAGCAAACAGGG
rnacentral:rRNA from 1 species